GACGAACGCUGGCGGCGUGCUUAACACGUGCAAGUCGAGCGAGGCCCUCCUUCGGGGGGUGCCCUAGCGGCGAACGGGUGAGUAACACGUGGGCAACCUGCCCUCAGCUCUGGGAUAACUCCAAGAAAUUGGUGCUAAUACCGGAUGUGACCGCUGACCGCAUGGUCUGGUGGUGGAAAGAUUCAUCGGCUGAGGAUGGGCCCGCGGCCUAUCAGCUUGUUGGUGGGGAAUGGCCUACCAAGGCGACGACGGGUAGCCGGCCUGAGAGGGUGACCGGCCACACUGGGACUGAGACACGGCCCAGACUCCUACGGGAGGCAGCAGUGGGGAAUAUUGCGCAAUGGGCGAAAGCCUGACGCAGCGACGCCGCGUGAGGGAUGACGGCCU
rnacentral:rRNA from 1 species